GGGUGCGAUCAUACCAGCACUAAUGCAUCGGAUCCCAUCAGAACUCCGCAGUGAAGCGUCCUUGGGCGAUAGUAGUACUAGGAUGGGUGACCUCCUGGGAAGUCCUCGUGUUGCCACCC
rfam:Macleaya cordata isolate BLH2017 scaffold7679, whole genome shotgun sequence.